rnacentral:snRNA from 1 species
GUGCUCACUUCGGCAGCACAUACACUAAAAUUGGAAUGAUACAGAGAAGUUUAGCAUGGUCCCUGCGCAAGGAUGACAUGCAAAUUCAUGAAGCGUUCCAUAUUUAU